GCUGAUGUAGCUCAGUGGCAGAGCACUCCCUUGGUAAGGGAGAGGUCGAGGGUUCAAUCCCCUCCAUCAGCU
rnacentral:tRNA from 1 species